rnacentral:rRNA from 1 species
ACGCUGGCGGCGUGCUUUAACACAUGCAAGUCGAACGAUGAAAGCGGGAGCUUGCUCCUGCUGGAUUAGUGGCGAACGGGUGAGUAACACGUGAGCAAUCUGCCCCGAACUCUGGGAUAAGCGUUGGAAACGACGUCUAAUACCGGAUACGACGCGCGAAGGCAUCUUCUGCGCGUGGAAAGAAUUUCGGUUCGGGAUGAGCUCGCGGCCUAUCAGCUAGUUGGUGAGGUAAUGGCUCACCAAGGCGACGACGGGUAGCCGGCCUGAGAGGGUGACCGGCCACACUGGGACUGAGACACGGCCCAGACUCCUACGGGAGGCAGCAGUGGGGAAUAUUGCACAAUGGGCGCAAGCCUGAUGCAGCAACGCCGCGUGAGGGACGACGGCCUUCGGGUUGUAAACCUCUUUUAGUAGGGAAGAAGCGAAAGUGACGGUACCUGCAGAAAAAGCACCGGCUAACUACGUG